rnacentral:sRNA from 2 species
ACAAUGUGCGCGUCAUUGGGGAGUAGCCGCUCUUCAUCGCGAAGAGGCUUACGUCAACACACUUGACCCGCAGGUCAUGGCGUAAGCAGUCCCAAGCUUGGCAAGACCUUUGACCACGAUGUCUCCGACAAGGCCGGGGAUACGUCGUGGUCAAUCGUCUCGCGUCCGGCCUGGGUACU